CGCCUGGGGAGUACGGCCGCAAGGUUAAAACUCAAAUGAAUUGACGGGGGCCCGCACAAGCGGUGGAGCAUGUGGUUUAAUUCGAUGCAACGCGAAGAACCUUACCUACUCUUGACAUCCUGCGAAUUUGGUAGGGAUACCUUAGUGCCUUCGGGAACGCAGAGACAGGUGCUGCAUGGCUGUCGUCAGCUCGUGUUGUGAAAUGUUGGGUUAAGUCCCGUAACGAGCGCAACCCUUGUCCUUAUUUGCCAGCGCGUAAUGGCGGGAACUCUAAGGAGACUGCCGGUGACAAACCGGAGGAAGGUGGGGACGACGUCAAGUCAUCAUGGCCCUUACGAGUAGGGCUACACACGUGCUACAAUGGUCGGUACAAAGGGUUGCCAACUCGCGAGAGUGAGCCAAUCCCGAAAAGCCGAUCUCAGUCCGGAUCGGAGUCUGCAACUCGACUCCGUGAAGUCGGAAUCGCUAGUAAUCGUGGAUCAGAAUGCCACGGUGAAUACGUUCCCGGGCCUUGUACACACCGCCCGUCACACCAUGGGAGUGGACUGCACCAGAAGUGGUUAGCCUAACGCAAGAGGGCGAUCACCACGGUGUGGUUCAUGACUGGGGUGAAGUCGUAACAAGGUAACCGUA
rnacentral:rRNA from 1 species